rnacentral:rRNA from 1 species
AUUGAACGCUGGCGGCAGGCUUAACACAUGCAAGUCGAGCGGAGAUGAGGUGCUUGCACCUUAUCUUAGCGGCGGACGGGUGAGUAAUGCUUAGGAAUCUGCCUAUUAGUGGGGGACAACAUUCCGAAAGGAAUGCUAAUACCGCAUACGUCCUACGGGAGAAAGCAGGGGAUCUUCGGACCUUGCGCUAAUAGAUGAGCCUAAGUCGGAUUAGCUAGUUGGUGGGGUAAAGGCCUACCAAGGCGACGAUCUGUAGCGGGUCUGAGAGGAUGAUCCGCCACACUGGGACUGAGACACGGCCCAGACUCCUACGGGAGGCAGCAGUGGGGAAUAUUGGACAAUGGGCGGAAGCCUGAUCCAGCCAUGCCGCGUGUGUGAAGAAGGCCUUUUGGUUGUAAAGCACUUUAAGCGAGGAGGAGGCUACUAGUACUAAUACUACUGGAUAGUGGACGUUACUCGCAGAAUAAGCACCGGCUAACUCUGUGCCAGCAGCCGCGGUAA